rnacentral:tRNA from 1 species
GCGGGAAUAGCUCAGUGGUAGAGCACGACCUUGCCAAGGUCGGGGUCGCGAGUUCGAGUCUCGUUUCCCGCUCCA